UUCAUUCUCUCUCCUCCCGAUGGAAAAUUUCCAGCGUCGCUUCCUCCCUCUAUCCAUUCUCUCUCCCCACGAACUACUCCCCACAUGGGAACUAUUCCACCGGGCAACCCUCUCUCGAUUCUCUCUCGCUGCCCCCGCUCGGUCUCUCUCAAACUGAUGCAAACACGGUUAUGGCAUGGAUCUGGCAUGCCUCAAAUUUGAUUUCCUCAUCUGAACCAGUUCACCCAAAAUAGGUACUUAUUUGCUGGAUUCAGAUUGGAUCCCGAAUCAUCUCACGUACAAUUUUCGGAUGGCUCAUGGACAUCUCGCUUUCUCCCAGCCAAAGCAAAGUCAUGGUCUCUCAUAUAGUGAUGCAAACAAGUUAUGGCAUCGAUCUGGGCUGGUCAGGGAGCUUAUUGCCUGCAAUAUGUUUUCAUCCAAGAUCAGGAGUCAUUGGCAUCGCAACUUACAUCGGACGUAUUGAAAAACCCAGGCAACUCAUGGUGUUUGGAAGAUUUAAGAUGUUGUUGUCCGAAUUGAGUUAGUAUACUGAAUGGAACUAAAUGAGGCAACUUACCAUGCUUGCUAGUAGUUAGAUCUCUAGGAAUAUAGGGGGAUUAGAAAUUUAAUGUUACGCUAUGGGGUGAGAAGGUUUACCAAAUUGAUGUGGAUUCUUUGGGUCCUACUGUUAUAGUAAUAUUAACCGCUGCCAGAAAAUAUAAAGGUCUGUAUUUA